rnacentral:rRNA from 1 species
GACGAACGCUGGCGGCGUGCUUAACACAUGCAAGUCGAACGGAAAGGCCCCCAUCUUGGUGGGGGUGCUCGAGUGGCGAACGGGUGAGUAACACGUGGGUGAUCUGCCCUGUACUUCGGGAUAAGCUUGGGAAACUGGGUCUAAUACCGGAUAGGACCAUGGUUUAGUGUCUCAUGGUGGAAAGAUUAUUGUUUUGGUGCAGGAUGAGCUCGCGGCCUAUCAGCUUGUUGGUGGGGUAAUGGCCUACCAAGGCGUCGACGGGUAGCCGGCCUGAGAGGGUGGACGGCCACAUUGGGACUGAGAUACGGCCAAGACUCCUACGGGAGGCAGCAGUGGGGAAUAUUGCACAAUGGGCGAAAGCCUGAUGCAGCGACGCAGCGUGGGGGAUGACGGCCUUCGGGUUGUAAACUCCUUUCGUUAGGGACGAAGCCGCACUUUUUUUGGGUGUGGUGACGGUACCUUUGUUAAGAAGCACCGGCUAACUACGUG